rnacentral:miRNA from 1 species
UCUAUGAUUCUAUGCUUCUAUGCUUCUAUGUUUCUCAGAACCAUAGAAACAUAGAAACAUAGAAGCAUAGAAUCAUAGAAGC